rnacentral:rRNA from 1 species
GUGCCAGCCGCCGCGGUAAUACGUAGGUGGCAAGCGUUGUCCGGAUUUAUUGGGCGUAAAGCGAGCGCAGGCGGUUUCUUAAGUCUGAUGUGAAAGCCUUCGGCUCAACCGAAGAAGUGCAUCGGAAACUGGGAAACUUGAGUGCAGAAGAGGACAGUGGAACUCCAUGUGUAGCGGUGAAAUGCGUAGAUAUAUGGAAGAACACCAGUGGCGAAGGCGGCUGUCUGGUCUGUAACUGACGCUGAGGCUCGAAAGCAUGGGUAGCAAACAGGAUUAGAUACCCUGGUAGUCCAUGCCGUAAACGAUGAGUGCUAGUGUUGGAGGGUUUCCGCCCUUCAGUGCCGCAGCUAACGCAUUAAGCACUCCGCCUGGGGAGUACGACCGCAAGGUUGAAACUCAAAGGAAUUGACGGGGGCCCGCACAAGCGGUGGAGCAUGUGGUUUAAUUCGAAGCAACGCGAAGAACCUUACCAGGUCUUGACAUCCUUUGACCACUCUAGAGAUAGAGCUUUCCCUUCGGGGACAAAGUGACAGGUGGUGCAUGGUUGUCGUCAGCUCGUGUCGUGAGAUGUUGGGUUAAGUCCCGCAACGAGCGCAACCCUUAUUACUAGUUGCCAGCAUUUAGUUGGGCACUCUAGUGAGACUGCCGGUGACAAACCGGAGGAAGGUGGGGACGACGUCAAAUCAUCAUGCCCCUUAUGACCUGGGCUACACACGUGCUACAAUGGAUGGUACAACGAGUUGCGAGACCGCGAGGUUUAGCUAAUCUCUUAAAACCAUUCUCAGUUCGGAUUGUAGGCUGCAACUCGCCUACAUGAAGCCGGAAUCGCUAGUAAUCGCGGAUCAGCAUGCCGCGGUGAAUACGUUCCCGGGCCUUGUACACACCGCCCGU